GUCACGGUUAUGUACAUGUGUUCAGUAUCAGGUGAUCAGUUAAGAAUUUGUUUUCAACACACAGAGAAGCUAUUCAUCCAUCUUUAGCUGUACGAUAGACUUAUUUAAUCCAAACGAGCACUAAUCUGUGAAAGGCUUCAAGCUUACGAGCAUCUACAGUAAACACCUAGCGUGAAGGCAGUUAGCACUGCUGAAAGCACCACGGAGAUAUUGACUCGACGCUAAUGUAGCUUUAGACAAGCAAUUAAUCAUAAAAAAAAACCACUGUAUUUGUGCUCAUUCGUGAACUUCACCUUACCGUGUAAACCAUUUAAGUGCCUAAUAGGUUCCGAACAAACGAAGCGAAAAUCGAGCAUCCAUCAGUGAGCUGUAAUUAGUUCGGUGUAUUUGUCCUUCACACGCAAGUACAUUUGAUUAGCGAUAAAGAAGGAAAAAGAACCAGUGUAUGUUAUCUUCAAUUGUGUCUCAAUUAAAAAAAGCUCUCAGACUUGAAAA